rnacentral:rRNA from 1 species
UACGUAGGUGGCAAGCGUUGUCCGGAUUUACUGGGCGUAAAGGGCUCGUAGGCGGCCAACUAAGUCAGACGUGAAAUCCCUAGGCUCAACCUAGGAACUGCGUCUGGUACUGGAUGGCUUGAAUCCGGGAGAGGGAUGCAGAAUUCCAGGUGUAGCGGUGAAAUGCGUAGAUAUCUGGAGGAAUACCGGUGGCGAAGGCGGCAUCCUGGACCGGCAUUGACGCUGAGGAGCGAAAGCUAGGGGAGCAAACGGGG